rnacentral:ncRNA from 1 species
UCAAGAUGAGAUCUCCUAGCAGAAAUGUGAGAGACCCCUUAGAGACGAUGAGGUAGAUAGGGCAGGGGUGGAAGUGCAGCGAUGCAUGGAGCUGACUGCUACUAAUCGGUCGAAAGCUUGACCUA